rnacentral:rRNA from 2 species
GAUGAACGCUGGCGGCGCGCCUAACACAUGCAAGUCGAACGAUUAAAGCACCUUCGGGUGUGUAUAAAGUGGCGAACGGCUGAGUAACACGUGGGCAACCUGCCCCUUUCAUUGGGAUAGCCACGGGAAACCGUGGAUAAUACCGAAUACUUCGAGACUUCCGCAUGGAAGACUCGAGAAAGCUCCGGCGGAGAGGGAUGGGCCCGCGGCCUGUUAGCUUGUUGGUGGGGUAACGGCCUACCAAGGCAAUGAUGGGUAGCUGGGUUGAGAGACCGACCAGCCAGAUUGGGACUGAGACACGGCCCAGACUCCUACGGGAGGCAGCAGUGGGGAAUCUUGCACAAUGGGCGAAAGCCUGAUGCAGCGACGCCGCGUGCGGGAUGAAGGCC